rnacentral:rRNA from 1 species
AUUGAACGCUGGCGGCAGGCCUAACACAUGCAAGUCGAACGAGUGGCGGACGGGUGAGUUAUGUCUGGGACACUGCCUGAUGGAGGGGGAUCACUUCUGGAAACGGUAUAUAAUACCGCAUACCAUCAGAUGCGCCCAGAUGGGAUUAGCUUGUUGGUGGGAGAACGGCACACCAAGGCGAAGAUCCCUAGCUGGUGUGAGAGGAUGACCAGCCACACUGGGACUGAGAAACGGUCCAGACUCCGACGGGAGGCAGCAGUGGGGAAUAUUGCACAAUGGGCGCAAGCCUGAUGCAGCCAUGCCGCGUGUAUGAAGAAGGCCUUAGGGUUGUAAAGUACUUUCAGUGGGGAGGCGUUACCCGCAGAAGAAGCACCGGCUAACUCCGUGCCAGCAGCCGCGGUAAUUC